GUCGCGGAAGGAGGAAUCAGCGCCUCCAGGAGGCUCCGAAUUCGUGCUAUGUCGUGGUGUUAGCCCGCGCAGCCCCUUUGUGGCUUUGGGAUGUUGCCCAGAUUUUUCCUGUAAAUCCACCGUUAGGUCUUUAAAAAAAUUUCCCCACCGCACAUGGGUGUGGGUUCCCACCAGUAUAGAAAACUAUACUAGUGAAGAGCUGCGUAGUCCUUCCGGCAGCUCCUAAUGUCAGUCCCUCCUUGCAGCCUUAGUAGAAACUCUGGUCAUCAUGUAUUCUUUUAGUACGCUGGGAGAACCGAUUGCCUUGAGUCUAAUUCUAUUUUUUGCUCUGUAUUAGAAUUUUCCUUUGGCCCCAGAAACACCUCGUUUUGUCUGGCUUAUUUGGAGUUGCUUCACGCCGUUCUGCACCCUGCACAUAUGGCCGCGAGCAAGACUAGCUUCUUCCUCUCCUGAGGCUUGGUUCUGAUGAGAGGGACAUAUGCAAACAUGAUUUCAGUGGAGUCUUAAGUGCUGUAGUGAAAAACAAAAGCUGGGAAGAGGCUGGGCUCUGGCCCAAGAGAACUGAUGGAGAGGCCAAGGCCAGAUCAGGAAGCAGAUCACAGGAGGGGUCACAGUGCACAGAGCCAUCCUUCUGCGGCAUCAUGGUUGGGAUGCAGUGUUACAGCUACACCCCUAGAGCUGGAUGCCCCACUCUCCCGGGAUCCCCUAGGCGGAAAAGAGGGUCACCGGCUUCAUAAGGACCUCAUCUGCCUGUAUGUCCUCCACUUCUCAGCUGGGCCGGAGACUCCAAGGACCAUCUUGGGGCUCAGGUGAACAUCCAUUCUGUUUCCAUUCCCACCCAUUCAGCACGAAGCAGGGGCUGCAGGACUCUUCUGUCUCUACCACUGUUGUGAAUCAAGUCAGUGAACAGCAACCAGGUAGUGGUGUUACACAGGAACACAUCUGAAUAAAAUGUGUUUUUCUGUCUAGCAUUUUAAUAUGAACUUCCAGUGUAUUCCUUAGUAUACUCAUGCACCAUGGCUGUUUUAAGCAACAUUAUCCUGAGGUGCACU
rnacentral:lncRNA from 1 species